rnacentral:misc_RNA from 1 species
AAGUUCGAAAAUGACGAGACCGAGUCGAGCGACGCGAUGAAGCGCCGAUUCCCGAGCAUGUCGCUCAUGUAGAUGAUCGAUCGCGACACGAACAACUGAUCGGAACUGACGCCGGCGUUGACCUGGACGUCGUCGACGAAAAGCCGGAAGCCGCCCGGCUUCUCGAUCUUCUCUU